rnacentral:rRNA from 1 species
GACGAAGGGGGCGAGCGUUGUUCGGAAUCACUGGGCAUAAAGAGCACGUAGGCGGCUAAGUCAGUCGGAUGUGAAAUACCUCGGCUCAACCGAGGAACUGCGUCCGAUACUGCUUGGCUUGAGGUCCGGAGGGGAGAGUGGAAUUCCCGGUGGAGCGGUGAAAUGCGUAGAGAUCGGGAAGAACGCCGGCGGCGAAAGCGACUCUCUGGUCGGAAUCUGACGCUGAGGUGCGAAAGCUAGGGGAGCAAACGGG